rnacentral:misc_RNA from 1 species
GCAGUUCCCAGGUUCUAAAGUCCCACGCACCCCGCGGGACUCAUAUUUUUCCCAGACGCGGAGGUUGGGGUCAUGGCGCCCCGAAGCCUCCUCCUGCUGCUCUCAGGGGCCCUGGCCCUGACCGAUACUUGGGCGGGUGAGUGCGGGGUCCAGAGAGAAACGGCCUCUGUGGGGAGGAGUGAGGGGCCCGCCCGGUGGGGGCGCAGGACUCAGGGAGCCGCGCCCGGAGGAGGGUCUGGCGGGUCUCAGCCCCUCCUCGCCCCCAGGCUCCCACUCCUUGAGGUAUUUCAGCACCGCUGUGUCGCGGCCCGGCCGCGGGGAGCCCCGCUACAUCGCCGUGGAGUACGUAGACGACACGCAAUUCCUGCGGUUCGACAGCGACGCCGCGAUUCCGAGGAUGGAGCCGCGGGAGCCGUGGGUGGAGCAAGAGGGGCCGCAGUAUUGGGAGUGGACCACAGGGUACGCCAAGGCCAACGCACAGACUGACCGAGUGGCCCUGAGGAACCUGCUCCGCCGCUACAACCAGAGCGAGGCUGGGUCUCACACCCUCCAGGGAAUGAAUGGCUGCGACAUGGGGCCCGACGGACGCCUCCUCCGCGGGUAUCACCAGCACGCGUACGACGGCAAGGAUUACAUCUCCCUGAACGAGGACCUGCGCUCCUGGACCGCGGCGGACACCGUGGCUCAGAUCACCCAGCGCUUCUAUGAGGCAGAGGAAUAUGCAGAGGAGUUCAGGACCUACCUGGAGGGCGAGUGCCUGGAGUUGCUCCGCAGAUACU